CCUACGGGAGGCAGCAGUAGGGAAUAUUGCUCAAUGGGGGAAACCCUGAAGCAGCAACGCCGCGUGGAGGAUGAAGGUUUUCGGAUUGUAAACUCCUGUUGUUAGAGAAGAUAAUGACGGUAUCUAACGAAUAAGCACCGGCUAACUCCGUGCCAGCAGCCGCGGUAAUACGGAGGGUGCAAGCGUUACUCGGAAUCAAUGGGCGUAAAGGGCGCGUAGGCGGGAUAGCAAGUCAGAUGUGAAAUCCUAUGGCUUAACCAUAGAACUGCAUUUGAAACUGUUAUUCUAGAGUAUGGGAGAGGUAGGUGGAAUUCUUGGUGUAGGGGUAAAAUCCGUAGAGAUCAAGAGGAAUACUCAUUGCGAAGGCGACCUGCUAGAACAUAACUGACGCUGAUGCGCGAAAGCGUGGGGAGCAAACAGGAUUAGAUACCCUAGUAGUC
rnacentral:rRNA from 1 species